AUAUCCGUUUCAUUCGGGUUCGGGUUCGGAUAAAAUUUCGGGUAUCCAUACCCAUUGACAUCCCUAAAUAUGACGGAUAUUUUCUAAUAUUAUAUAAUAAAUAAAUUUAUUUUUAAAAUAUUAUAAAUUUUUGAAUAAAUAUGAUGUAUAAUUUUAUAUUAAUUUGAAAUAAUUUUAAAUAAUUAAUUGUUACGUGUAUUUGUACGUAUACUCAACUAGUGUAU
rnacentral:lncRNA from 1 species